AUUUAUAUAGUUUAUUAAAACAUUUUAUUUUCAUUAAAAAAAUGGUUAAAUAACCUAUAAAUU
rnacentral:tRNA from 3 species